ensembl:lncRNA
CCACCAGAACUAUCAGGGUGAUACACUUUCAUCAGGGGGCUCAGGCUGGCGAGAUUCACCAGAUCCAGGAUGGGCAGCUUCAAGACAGGGCUCCACACCAUUAUUUGCGGACCUCUGGAGCGUUCCUCAAAACCACUGAUGGUCCUUCAAACCUCUCAUUUCCAGGCGAGAACAGUACAGUCUGCCUGGUGCUGAAGCCAGAGCUCAGGCUUUGGCUGAUGCUGAGAGCAAACCUCUGCUGUACAGGCAUAUACUUUGAAUCACCGCUCCUAUGAAAUUCAUAUUAAUCUGUUCAUCUCUGAAUCAGACACUUUCUUCCCCUCUCUCCAGUACACUACAAGUGGAAACAUCUUGACAAUCACUGAACAAGCCAUGCGCUUCCUUCCUCCCGGCCUCUCACACAGUAUGGGCCCUCUAUCUGGAAUCCUCUUCCACUUUUCCUCUGCCUGGGAAACUCCUUCCCACUCUUCAGAUGCAGCUCAAAAGUGACCUUCUCCAUCAAGGUUUUCCUACCUCUUCCAGGCAGGACUGUUCCGCCCUCUGCACACCCACAUCCCUUAGGACAGGCAUCUCCCACAAAUUCUCACCUCGGCUUUGACUACGGGUUUAGGUGCUCAUCUUUCCAUGCGCCCCCUGGGGAGUGAGGUCUUAUUUAUCUCUGUACCAAUUCUCAUCCUUGCUUUGCCCCAGUGGCUAGUGCGGGGCUUGGCACACCACAGGCCUUCAUUACAAUAUCAUUUCCAUGGAACUGUGACAGGAACUCCCACUAACCUUUCAAAUGUUGGCUUUAGGUGUGAAACCACACAUGAAAUGUCAAGUGUAUGUAUGCACGUGUAUGUGUUGACAUAUGGAAUGCUCUUCACUAAUUCAGACCUCUCUUUACCUCCUCAGGGUGAGAUUAUUCGGAGAAAUAAUAAUGGCUGAUGUUUGUAUAACACCUUGAAUGUAUUUGCUUUCAGAGACAUUAUCUGAUCUGUGGUACCGAGCAAAGAGCAAAUCAAUCAACCUGAUGUAUGUUGAUGUUGACACGGAUUUUGGAGUGGAAAAGUCUUUGCUGAGUUUGUGCCCUGAUUACAUGUCCGUGCCUGAAAACGCUGACCAUAGGUCCCUGCUGUGAGAAGCAAGAUCUGCAAAACUGGAACAUACCUGAUAACAUGCGCAUCCCUUACUAUCCUCCAUAAAUAGAUUUUAGCAAGUCAGAAAGUUUGAACAAAAACUCAUAAUUCUUGUCAGUAAUAGUGGACACUCCCAAUUAAGAAAACACUCACUUAUUUUUUCCUACUGCCAUCGAGGAAAGCUGGAAAAAAGCAUUUGGCAAAUCAUCUUCUGUCAUCCUUAGAUUUCAGGAGGAUAAGUUCAAACAGAUGAAACAGAAGUUCUGCAGUAACUCAUUCUACUGUACAAUUCAACCCAACCAACUCCCGGGGCUCUUGAGCUAGCUGCCUGUCAUCAAGGAUGUUUGGAUGAGUUCUAUGAGCUGUCAGGGUUUAAUAAGCCAAGCUAGUUAAUGAGUGAUGGCUAGAUUUCAUUCCAAGACUUCACAUUAUCCAUGAAGCAAUUAAGCAUGCAUCUAGUGGUCUCCCACGGGAGUUCCAAAGGUGCC